rnacentral:tRNA from 14 species
GAAAAUCCGUCGACUUUAUAAGUCGUGAGGGUUCAAGUCCCUCUAUCCCCA